AGUGAACGCUGGCGGUAGGCCUAACACAUGCAAGUCGAACGGCAGCACAGUAAGAGCUUGCUCUUACGGGUGGCGAGUGGCGGACGGGUGAGGAAUACAUCGGAAUCUACUUUUUCGUGGGGGAUAACGUAGGGAAACUUACGCUAAUACCGCAUACGACCUACGGGUGAAAGCAGGGGAUCUUCGGACCUUGCGCGAUUGAAUGAGCCGAUGUCGGAUUAGCUAGUUGGCGGGGUAAAGGCCCACCAAGGCGACGAUCCGUAGCUGGUCUGAGAGGAUGAUCAGCCACACUGGAACUGAGAGAAGGUCCAGACUCCUACGGGAGGCAGCAGUGGGGAAUAUUGGACCAUGGGCGCAAGCCUGCUCCAGCCAUACCGCGUGGGUGAAGAAGGCCUUCGGCUUGUAAAGCCCUUUUGUUGGGAAAGAAAAGCAGCAGGUUAAUACCCCGCUGUUCUGACGGUACCCAAAGAAUAAGCACCGGAUAACUUCGUG
rnacentral:rRNA from 1 species